CCAUGAUUUUUGCGCAGUUUUCGUGCGGUUUUCGGAGCUAAAGGACGCAGCAGCGGCAGCAACAGCAGCAAUAGCAGCAUCAGCAGCAAAAAGAGCCACCCGAAGAGGCAGCGUGAUAAAGGAUAGCAGAGGAGUUGUGGUUUUUUGCAGUGUGGCGUGUGAGAAACAAUCAAAGACAAUAUUUUGUGCGAGCGGAAAAGGAAUCCAUCAAGAUAAAUAAGAAUUGGCAUAAUACAAGUAAAGCCCGUGCGAAGGUGACAAAAGGGGAAGGUGAGCGGGCCCUUGAGCUCUGCAAGGACCCUUGGAUUACCUUGCGGGGCAAGCGGAAUCAGCCAGCGAAUUCGCCGGCGGUAGGGCGAAUCUCCGGCAGAAGCUGAGGGAGAUACAGCGAGAGGUAAAGCCCAAGAAGCCAAGCUUGAAGCAGAUCAGAUCCAGCAAACAAGGGACACAAGCAUCACAGACUGAAAGCAGUGCAAGCAGUGAAAGCAGUGCAGAGCCGUGCAAGCCGUGCAAGCAGUGCCAGCAUCACCGUCGCCAUUCGCCUCCCAUUAAGUGCCAAGAGCGAGAAAGGAAAGAAAGAAAGAAAGGAAGGAAGGUUUCUCCCUUUCUUAACAACACACUUGUAAGCCAAAAAAGACAACGAGGCUGGCGCUGGCCCCAGGGCAGCAGAGGCAGUAGCAGCACCGACAGAGCCGCGACGCUGCAGCGGCGACAGAGCAAUUGAGCGAAACCAGCAACAGCUGCAGCGACGCUUGCGGGAGGGGCACGCGCACGCUCACUGAUGGCAGAGAAGAUGCUGAAGAUGAUGAUGAUGAUGAUG